CCCUUAGACGUUCUGGGCCGCACGCGCGCUACACUGACGAAGGCAACGAGCUUUCCUUUACCGAAAGGUACGGGUAAUCUUUUGAAACUUCGUCGUGCUGGGGAUAGAUCCUUGCAAUUUUUGAUCUUAAACGAGGAAUGCCUAGUAAGCGCAAGUCAUCAACUUGCGUUGAUUACGUCCCUACCCUUUGUACACACCGCCCGUCGCUACUACCGAUUGAAUGGUUUAGUGAGGCCUUCGGAUCCGCGACUCGUUUGUGGAGAAGUUGGACAAACUCAGUCAUUUAGAGGAAGUAAAAGUCGUAACA
rnacentral:rRNA from 1 species